GACGAACGCUGGCGGCGUGCUUAACACAUGCGAGUCGAACGGAAAGGCCCUGCUUUUGUGGGGUGCUCGAGUGGCGAACGGGUGAGUAACACGUGAGUAACCUGCCCUUGACUUUGGGAUAACUUCAGGAAACUGGGGCUAAUACCGGAUAGGAGCUCCUGCUGCAUGGUGGGGUUUGGAAAGUUUCGGCGGUUGGGGAUGGACUCGCGGCUUAUCAGCUUGUUGGUGGGGUAGUGGCUUACCAAGGCUUUGGCGGGUAGCCGGCCUGAGAGGGUGACCGGCCACAAUGGGACUGAGGUACGGAGCAGACUCCUACGGGAGGCAGCAGUGGGAAAUAUUGCACAAUGGGCGGAAGCCUGAUGCAGCAACGCCGCGUGCGGGAUGACGGCCUUCGGGUUGUAAACCGCUUUCGCCUGUGACGAAGCGUGAGUGACGGUAAUGGGUAAAGAAGCACCGGCUAACUACGUG
rnacentral:rRNA from 1 species